rnacentral:rRNA from 1 species
AUUGAACGCUGGCGGCAGGCCUAACACAUGCAAGUCGAGCGAGCGGCGGACGGGUGAGUAAUGUCUGGGAAACUGCCUGAUGGAGGGGGAUAACUACUGGAAACGGUAGCUAAUACCGCAUACCAUCAGAUGUGCCCAGAUGGGAUUAGCUAGUAGGUGGGGUAAUGGCUCACCUAGGCGACGAUCCCUAGCUGGUCUGAGAGGAUGACCAGCCACACUGGAACUGAGCCACGGUCCAGACUCCUACGGGAGGCAGCAGUGGGGAAUCUUGCGCAAUGGGCGCAAGCCUGAUGCAGCCCUGCCGCGUGUAUGAAGAAGGCCUUCGGGUUGUAAAGUACUUUCAGCUAGGAGGCGUUUCUCGCAGAAGAAGCACCGGCCAAAUCCGUGCCAGCAGCCGCGGUAAUUC